GCUGGGUGUGGUGGCGCACACCUGUAAUCCCAGCUAUUCGGGAGGCUGAGGUAGAAGAAUCACUUGAACCCAGGAGGCAGAGGUUGCAGUGAACUGAGAUCAUGCCACUGUACUCCAGCCUGGGUGACAGAGUGAGACUCCAUCUCAA
rnacentral:sRNA from 1 species